rnacentral:rRNA from 1 species
GAUGAACGCUGGCGGCGUGCCUAAUACAUGCCAGUCGAGCGAACAGAUAAGGAGCUUGCUCCUUUGACGUUAGCGGCGGACGGGUGAGUAACACGUGGGUAACCUACCUAUAAGACUGGAAUAACUCCGGGAAACCGGGGCUAAUGCCGGAUAACAUUUAGAACCGCAUGGUUCUAAAGUGAAAGAUGGUUUUGCUAUCACUUAUAGAUGGACCCGCGCCGUAUUAGCUAGUUGGUAAGGUAACGGCUUACCAAGGCAACGAUACGUAGCCGACCUGAGAGGGUGAUCGGCCACACUGGAACUGAGACACGGUCCAGACUCCUACGUGAGGCAGCAGUGGGGAAUCUUCCGCAAUGGGCGAAAGCCUGACGGAGCAACGCCGCGUGAGUGAUGAAGGUCUUCGGAUCGUAAAACUCUGUUAUUAGGGAAGAACAAAUGUGUAAGUAACUGUGCACGUCUUGACGGUACCUAAUCAGAAAGCCACGGCUAACUACGUG